rnacentral:rRNA from 1 species
GACGAACGCUGGCGGCGUGCUUAACACAUGCAAGUCGAACGGAAAGGCCCUGCUUGCGGUGUGCUCGAGUGGCGAACGGGUGAGUAACACGUGGGUGAUUUGCCUCUUACUUUGGGAUAAGCCUUGGAAACUAGGUCUAAUACUUAAUAGUACCAUGCUUGAGCUGCUGUGGUGGAUAGAUUAGUUUCGGUAUGGGAUGAGGUCUCGGCCUAUCAGCGUGUUGUUUGGGUAAUGGCCUACCAAGGCGUCACCGGGUGGCCGGCCUGACAGGGUGGGCGGCCACAUUGAGACUGAGAUGCGGCCCAGCCGCAGACGGGAGGCAGCAGUGGGGAAUAUUGCAACGUGGGCGCACCGCGGGUGUAGUGAAGCCGCGUGGGGGGUGACGGCCUGCUGGUUGGAAACUACAUUCAGCCAUGAAGAAGCGCUUGUGGUGACGGUAGUGGUAGAAGAAGCACCGGCUAACUACGUG